UGGGGGAUAUUGCACAAUGGGCGAAAGCCUGAUACAGCGACGCCGCGUGGGGGAUGAAGGCUUUCGGGUUGUAAACCUCUUUCGCUAUCGAACAAGGCCCGCUUAGGGUGGGUUGAGGGUAGGUGGAGAAGAAGCGCCGGCUAACUACGUGCCAGCAGCCGCGGUAAUACGUAGGGCGCGAGCGUUGUCCGGAAUUAUUGGGCGUAAAGGGCUUGUAGGCGGCUUGUUGCGCCUGCUGUGAAAACGCGGGGCUUAACUUCGCGCGUGCAGUGGGUACGGGCAGGCUUGAGUGUGGUAGGGGUGACUGGAAUUCCAGGUGUAGCGGUGGAAUGCGCAGAUAUCUGGAGGAACACCGAUGGCGAAGGCAGGUCACUGGGCCAUUACUGACGCUGAGGAGCGAAAGCAUGGGUAGCGAACAGG
rnacentral:rRNA from 2 species